rnacentral:rRNA from 1 species
UACGGAGGAUCCGAGCGUUAUCCGGAUUUAUUGGGUUUAAAGGGUGCGUAGGUGGAUUGGUAAGUCAGUGGUGAAAGUUUGCAGCUUAACUGUAAAAUUGCCGUUGAAACUGCCGGUCUUGAGUGCAAAUGAGGUAGGCGGAAUGCGUCGUGUAGCGGUGAAAUGCUUAGAUAUUACACAGAACACCGAUUGCGAAGGCAUCUCACAAAGCCGUUAUUGACGCUGAGGCACGAAAGUGUGGGGAUCAAACAGGAUUAGAUACCCGUGUAGU